rnacentral:rRNA from 1 species
GUGCCAGCCGCCGCGGUAAUACGGAAGGUCCGGGCGUUAUCCGGAUUUAUUGGGUUUAAAGGGAGCGCAGGCGGAGGGUCAAGUCAGCCGUAAAAUCGUCCUGCUCAACAGGAUCCCGCGGUUGAAACUGGUCCCCUUGNGGUGCACAAGAGGCACGCGGAACUCGUGGUGUAGCGGUGAAAUGCAUAGAUAUCACGAAGAACGCCGAUUGCGAAGGCAGCGUGCUGGGGUGUAACCGACGCUCAUGCUCGAAGGCGCGGGUAUCAAACAGGAUUAGAUACCCUGGUAGUCCGCGCAGUAAACGAUGGAUGCCCGCGGUGUGGGGUUUNUCCUUGCGCCGCCAAGCGAAAGCGUUAAGCAUCCCACCUGGGGAGUACGCCGGCAACGGUGAAACUCAAAGGAAUUGACGGGGCCCGCACAAGCGGAGGAACAUGUGGUUUAAUUCGAUGAUACGCGAGGAACCUUACCCGGGCUUGAAAGGCAUUCGACAGGACACAGAGACGUGUCCCUUCUUCGGACGGAUGCCUAGGUGCUGCAUGGUUGUCGUCAGCUCGUGCCGUGAGUGUCGGCUCAAGUGCCAUAACGAGCGCAACCCCUACCGCCGGUUACCAUCGGGUGAUGCCGGGGACUUCCGGCGGCACUGCCGCCGGCAAGGCGCGAGGAAGGUGGGGAUGACGUCAAAUCAGCACGGCCCUUACGUCCGGGGCCACACACGUGUUACAAUGGGGGGCACGAGAAAGCUGGAUGCCGGCGACGGUGUCCGAAUCCUCAAAUCCCCUCCCAGUUCGGACUGGAGUCUGCAACCCGACUCCACGAAGCUGGAUUCGCUAGUAAUCGCGCAUCAGCCAUGGCGCGGUGAAUACGUUCCCGGGCCUUGUACACACCGCCCGUA